GACACGAUGGCCGAGCGGUUAAGGCGUGUGACUAGAAUUCCGUCUCUAGACUAUCACAUCUCUUCGGAGGCGUAGGUUCAAAUCCUACUCGUGUCG
rfam:Cladophialophora yegresii CBS 114405 aczIN-supercont1.4, whole genome shotgun sequence.